GCGAUGUCAGAGAGAGCGCGAGGGUCCCACUAGACCUCAGUUUAUACGCAAGUUACCUCAACGACGGUUUAACGCCAACGUCUCUAACCUGGAAGCGAGACCUGAACGGGUCCGUCGGCUGAGAAUAGCGCCACCUCUCCACCAGCGCCGUGACAGCAGAAUCUUGCAGCUCGCUGAAAUAACGAGCGAUUUGAUUCACGACCUGAUUCACGACUACAGCACCACAUUUUCUAACGCGUGUGAAAAAGGUUUUGUGUGAAAGGUUUGAAUGCAUGUCCGUGUCGAGGUAUAUUUUGAUGUUGUGAAUUCAUGUUUUUGAAUGCAUGUUAGCGUCAGGGAAAUAUUUUUGACGUUGUGAAUGCUAGGUUAUAGAUAGGGGAAAAUUAUAUAAUAAAAGUGUGCAAGAAAAAUAAAAAAAUCAUUUAACCCUGA